GACGAACGCUGGCGGCGUGCUUAACACAAGCGAGUCGAACGGAAAGGCCCUGCUUUUGUGGGGUGCUCGAGUGGCGAACGGGUGAGUAACACGUGAGUAACCUGCCCUUGACUUUGGGAUAACUUCAGGAAACUGGGGCUAAUACCGGAUAGGAGCUCCUGCUGCAUGGUGGGGGUUGGAAAGUUUCGGCGGUUGGGGAUGGACUCGCGGCUUAUCAGCUUGUUGGUGGGGUAGUGGCUUACCAAGGCUUUGACGGGUAGCCGGCCUGAGAGGGUGACCGGCCACAUUGGGACUGAGAUACGGCCCAGACUCCUACGGGAGGCAGCAGUGGGGAAUAUUGCACAAUGGGCGGAAGCCUGAUGCAGCAACGCCGCGUGCGGGAUGACGGCCUUCGGGUUGUAAACCGCUUUCGCCUGUGACGAAGCGUGAGUGACGGUAAUGGGUAAAGAAGCACCGGCUAACUACGUG
rnacentral:rRNA from 1 species